GCCAAGAUGACCCGUUUUUUCGUUGCUAGCCUUUGUUUGUCCGUUCUUCUUCUAUUUGCACUUGAGAGUAUCGAAGCAUUUGAAGAUGAUUUCCAAUACGGUUGGUGUAAACGCAAACGGGGAGUCAUAAACAAAAAGGCUGAACGUAUAUACCAGCGCCGGAAGGCUGAAAACUUCAAUGACGUUAAAACCCGCGCUGCUAUUCUUGUUGAAGGUUUUCCAUGCUGAAGAAUAAAAGAAAACAAAGUUUCAGGGGAUAAAAAUGCCCUUUGCCUCCACGUAUAUUUGGUCUUUAAAUCUGUUAUUUGUCUUUCAAACUAUAUAAAUAAAAUAAAAAGAUAAAUGCAUUGAUAUUAUCCAUAUAUUUUACAAAAUUACAGUAUACUAUAGUGACAAAAGUGAGUAAAUUUGC